rnacentral:rRNA from 1 species
UGCUCCUCGGGAGGCAGCAGUGAGGAAUAUUGGUCAAUGGGCGGAAGCCUGAACCAGCCAAGUCGCGUGAGGGAUUAAGGCCCUAUGGGUCGCAAACCUCUUUUGUCAGGGAGCAAGGUCGUCCACGUGUGGGCGUAUGGAGAGUACCUGAAGAAAAAGCAUCGGCUAACUCCGUGCCAGCAGCCGCGGUAAUACGGAGGAUGCGAGCGUUAUCCGGAUUUAUUGGGUUUAAAGGGUGCGCAGGCGGUCUGUUAAGUCAGCGGUCAAAGCCCGGGGCUCAACCCCGGCCCGCCGUUGAAACUGGC